UACGUAGGAGGCAAGCGUUGUCCGGAAUCAUUGGGCGUAAAGCGCGCGUAGGCGGCCCUGUAAGUCCGUUGUGAAAGUCAAAGGCUCAACCUUUGAAAGCCGAUGGAUACUGCAGGGCUAGAGUCCGGAAGAGGCGAGUGGAAUUCCUGGUGUAGCGGUGGAAUGCGCAGAUAUCAGGAGGAACACCAAUAGCGAAGGCAGCUCGCUGGGACGGUACUGACGCUAAGGCGCGAAAGCGUGGGGAGCGAACAGG
rnacentral:rRNA from 1 species